GAAGUAUUUGCAAUCCAUAGAAUUCUCUGUGUAAUAGAAAUAUUAAUGUCUUAGAUUGACUCUUGAAGGUGGAGUUUUAUUCCUAUGAAGGACAUAUAGUACUUCAGCUUAUCUCUACUGAAACAUUGUUUU